GAUGAACGCUGGCGGCGUGCUUAACACAUGCAAGUCGAACGGAAAGGCCCAAGCUUGCUUGGGUACUCGAGUGGCGAACGGGUGAGUAACACGUGGGUGACCUGCCCUGCACUUUGGGAUAACCUUGGGAAACUGGGUCUAAUACCGGAUAGGACGAUGUUUUGGAUGCCAUUGUGGAAAGAUUUUGCGGGGUGGGAUGAGCUCGCGGCCUAUCAGCUUGUUGGUGGGGUAUUGGCGUACCCAGGCGUCGACGCGUAGCCGCCCUGUGAGGGUGUACGGCCACAUUGGGGCUGUGAGACAGGCCAGAGUCGGACAGGGGGGAGAAGAGGGGAAAAUUGCACAAAGGGGGCAAGCGUGAGGCAGCGAAGCCGCGUGGGGGAUGAGGGCCUUUGGGGGGUAAAAACCGUUCGCGAGGGACGAAGCGUGUUUGUGACGGUACCUGGAGAAGAAGCACCGGCUAACUACGUG
rnacentral:rRNA from 1 species